GGCGCUGUGGCUUAGCUGGUUAAAGCGACUGUCCUGUAAACAGGAGAUCCUUCAUUCAAAUCUCAGCAAUGCCU
rnacentral:tRNA from 1 species